rnacentral:rRNA from 1 species
GUGGGGAAUCUUAGACAAUGGGGGAAACCCUGAUCUAGCCAUGCCGCGUGAUCGAUGAAGGCCUUAGGGUUGUAAAGAUCUUUCAGGUGGGAAGAUAAUGACUGUACCACCAGAAGAAGCCCCGGCUAACUCCGUGCCAGCAGCCGCGGUAAUACGGAGGGGGCUAGCGUUGUUCGGAAUUACUGGGCGUAAAGCGCACGUAGGCGGAUUGGAAAGUUGGGGGUGAAAUCCCGGGGCUCAACCCCGGAACUGCCUUCAAAACUCCCAGUCUUGAGUUCGAGAGAGGUGAGUGGAAUUCCGGGUGUAGAGGUGAAAUUCGUAGAUAUUCGGAGGAACACCAGUGGCGAAGGCGGCUCACUGGCUCGAUACUGACGCUGAGGUGCGAAAGCGUGGGGAGCAAACAGGAUUAGAUACCCGGGUAGUCC